GGUCAAGCUACUAAGAGCGUAGAGUGAAUGCCUUGGCACCGAGAGCCGAUGAAGGACGUGGUAAGCUGCGAAAAGCUUGGAUAAGUUGCAAACAAACAUUAAGUCCAAGAUGUCCGAAUGGGGAAACCUAGCUGAGUAAACCUCAGUUGUUAUACAAUGAAUAAAUAGUUGUAUAAAGGGAACGUUGGGAACUGAAACAUCUAAGUACCAACAGGAGGAGAAAGAAAAAUCGAUUUCCUAAGUAGUGGCGAGCGAACGGGAAACAGGCCAAACUUAAUUACUUGUAAUUAAGGGUUUAGGACUGCAUUUAUGGAAGAAAGUCUAUAGUCUAAUUAUUUUGGAACAAUAAGCCAUAGAGGGUGACAGCCCCGUUGACGAAAUAGACCUACACCUAGCAGGAUCCAGAGUACUGCGAGACACGAGAAACCUUGCAGGAACAUGUGGGGACCACCCCAUAAGCCUAAAUACUCCUCGGUGACCGAUAGUGUAUAGUACUGUGAAGGAAAGGUGAAGUUGUGCACUUAGCCUUCCGUCCCUCGGAAUGCAUACAUGGGAACUUAAGAAAUCUGCUUCGCAGUGUCGCUUCGCUCUUUUACUCUAUCCGU
rnacentral:ncRNA from 1 species